rnacentral:rRNA from 1 species
CUUUAUACGCAGCAGGGGCUUGCGGGUGUGACGCUGUGGAGAGAGAUAGGAAGGGGUAAGGAGAAGGAGGGUGAGGAGAAGGAGAAGGUGGGUGCGGGCUGGUCAGGGUAGGCGGCAGCGCGCGAGGGCUAGGCCUCCUCGUCUAGUAGGGUGCGGGCUCGGGCGACUUGGGUCGGAUCGAGGGCGCGGGUGGCGGGGACACGUCCAGGCGGAGAAGUCUCUAGGUGUAGCACGGCGGCGGUCAAGUCCUAGGUUGGAGUCGCGGAGGACCGAUCCGAACUCCUUGCUUACGGCCCUCUCGGAAGCGGUGCGGCCACCAUCGCCGCCGCUCCGGUUGCGCGGCUGUUGAUGACAAGUUCCCCCGUACGUCCUACACGAAGGCGUAGUGGGAGAGGAGGUGAGGUUCUGCCGCCGGAGCCUGCCCCGUCCUUAACCUAUUGUGCAGGUGGUGGACUAGCUCGCGUUGGCGUUGUCUCCUUGCGGUGGAGACGGAGCAGCACGUCCUCUACGAAGUGAUCCCGGCUUCAGUUACACAGCCUCGUCCACGAAGCCCCGCCGACCCAAACAGAUGUCCAGACAGGAAAAACACAACUUAAACUCGUGUUGAUCAGACCAAAACAAAAUCGGAGUAAACAGAACUCUACUUGUUUAAGUGUAUAUAUAAAGGUCACACUACGCUCCGUGUACAAUUAAGUCAAUGUGCAUCAGAAACUAAAUAAACAUGAAACAAAUCGUAAGUCCAUACAAACAAACAAACUUUAUAAACUUUUAAACACGGUUCCACGGGUAUAUUCACGACUAAUAAGUCAUUCAGUUAUCUGUUC